UAUUAGGAAAGACAUUGGCGAUUAUCCAGUCUGGCUAUUCGUUGACGAAACCACCUAUUCUUGCAGUCGUUAUAUGGUGCACGUCAUAGUUGGAAAACUCUCUGCUGACGAGACUGGACGAGGACACCUCAUACUGUGCGAAGAAGUGAAAUGAACGACACACGCCACGAUUGCACGCACAGUCUAAGUUUCGCCAAUAUUGAAUAGUUUAAAAUAAAUUACAGGCGUGCUGAGGAGAAGUGAAGAUCAGAAACGUGGGGAGAACAAGGUUUUAGCAAUUUUGACGGAUAGUGCCGCAUAUAUGAUGAAGGUUGUAGAGUGUCUCCGGGUGUCAUUCUUCACCUCACGUGUCGCUGAAGAGGUCAGAGCCGCAUUGACAGAGGUCAGCUGCCUUAUAUCUUCGGCAAUGAAGGUUUUCAUUAAGCCACCAAGUAAAGUGAGAGCUUUCAAGACUGCUCGCCCUGACGGUCCUCUGCCACCUGAACCAGUCUUGACGAGGUCCUAAAGGGUUUUGAAGAUAGCGAAAAUUGAGCCAUACCAAAAUCCAAGGGCGCCUUGAAGAAUUCCAGCAUGUUACACAGCCUAUCUUUCACCCGAGCG